CCUACGGGCGGCUGCAGUGGGGAAUAUUGGACAAUGGGGGGAACCCUGAUCCAGCCAUGCCGCGUGUGUGAAGAAGGCCCUCGGGUUGUAAAGCACUUUCAGUGAGGAAGAACGCCUGGUGGUUAAUACCCAUCAGGAAAGACAUCACUCACAGAAGAAGCACCGGCUAACUCCGUGCCAGCAGCCGCGGUAAUACGGAGGGUGCGAGCGUUAAUCGGAAUUACUGGGCGUAAAGCGCGCGUAGGGGGCUUGAUAAGCCGGUUGUGAAAGCCCCGGGCUCAACCUGGGAACGGCAUCCGGAACUGUCAAGCUAGAGUGCAGGAGAGGAAGGUAGAAUUCCCGGUGUAGCGGUGAAAUGCGUAGAGAUCGGGAGGAAUACCAGUGGCGAAGGCGGCCUUCUGGACUGACACUGACACUGAGGUGCGAAAGCGUGGGUAGCAAACAGGAUUAGAUACCCUAGUAGUC
rnacentral:rRNA from 1 species